rnacentral:lncRNA from 10 species
CUCACAUAUUUGAAACUUGACAUGCCAAAAAGAACUCAUAUAUUUUUGGGGGAAUGGUGUUAUUUAGAGUACAGUCCAAACACCUGUAACAAAAUGAUUCAAAGCAAAAUGUCUUAAUUAAGAUAAAAAUUUUAUUUCUCUCUAGUGUAAGAGGUAAGGAGUCUGUUCUGCUGGGGAGUUCUGCUAUCUUCCACACAUGGUUUCCAUCUUCUAAUUUAAAGGUAAAGCUCCAGUUUCUUCAUUUGCUGGCCAAAGAGGAGUGGGGAGGAGAGUCAGAGGAUUGAAAGCUCAUCUCCUAAGGGACAGGACUUGCACACAUCAUUUCUCCUAAGGAAAUGUGGCAGAAAUGGUGGUGUCCAACUAAAAGUAGAAAGUUCCGUUAUGAGAGAUGAGAAAAUAGUCAAUAAUGAACAAAUUGUUUCUUCCACAGGUACCUGGGUUACAUAAACUUUACAAAUUUUAUUUUAAGGAUU